rnacentral:rRNA from 1 species
CGAGAUGAGUUCUCCCUGACUCCUUGAGGGUCCUGAAGGAACGUUGAAGACGACGACGUUGAUAGGCCGGGUGUGUAAGCGCAGCGAUGCGUUGAGCUAACCGGUACUAAUGAACCGUGAGGCUUAACCUUACAACGCCGAAGCUGUU